GCCGGGUGCGGUGGCAUGUGCCUGUAAUCCAAGUCACUGGGAGGCUGAGGUUGGUGGAUCAAGUGAGCUGAGGAGCUCUGGGCUGCAGCACACUAUGUUGAACGGGUGUCCACGCUAAGUACGGUAUCGAUAUGGUGUUCCAGGGGGAGCCCGGGACCACCAGGUUGUCUAAGGAGGGGUGAACCGGCCCAGGUCGGAAACUAAGCAGGUCAAAUCCCCCGUGCUGUCCAGUAGUUGGAUGAUACCUGUGAGUAGAUGCUGCAGUGCAGCCUUGGCAAAACAUCGAGACCUAAUCUUUU
ensembl:misc_RNA Metazoa_SRP Metazoan signal recognition particle RNA